rnacentral:rRNA from 1 species
GAUGAACGCUAGCGGCAGGCCUAACACAUGCAAGUCGAGGGGGAAGUUACUUUCGGGUGACUGAGACCGGCGUACGGGUGCGUAACGCGUAUACAAUCUUCCUUUCACUGGGGGAUAGCCCGAAGAAAUUUGGAUUAAUACCCCAUAGUAUAUAGUGACGGCAUCGUUUUUAUAUUAAAGCUUAGGUGGUUAAAGAUUAGUAUGCGUUCUAUUAGCUAGUUGGAGAGGUAACGGCUCCCCAAGGCGAUGAUAGAUAGGGGUUCUGAGAGGGAUGUCCCCCACAAUGGUAAUGCGAUACAGACCAGAACGCUAGGGAAGGCAGGAGAAAGGAAUAUUAGACAAUGGACGGAAGCCUGAUACAGCCAUGCGGGGUGCAAGAGGAAGGUGUUAUGGAAUGUAAACUGCUAUUGAAGGAGAAGAAUAAGGGCUACGCGUAGUUUGAUGACGGUACCUAACGAAUAAGCAUCGGCUAACUCCGUG